UGAAAAUUAGAAACACGGAACUUAUAUAAAGCUACAGAAUAAAUCAAAGUUUUACAGAUAGCUCUCACAGUUUCUCAUUUUCUCUCUCUAGUAGCUCAAAUCUCUCUCACACAACCUAGAAAUUUCAAAGCCAAUUUCAUAGCUCUCAAUCAUGGAAAUUUCGAAGCUCUAGGUCAUGGCAAAUGCAUAGCUAUUGGUCUCUCAACGCGGUGGCUUUGUCUCAUCGUCACUCACAAAAUCGAAGUCGAAGUCUUCCGUCAACUCCUCUACUCUUCGCCUACCUCAUCUAAUCUCCCCCAAUUUUCUAGGGUUUCAAGCUCAAUCGACACGAAGAUCAUUUUGCCUGGUUCAUCUCGAUUCUUCAAUGGAGGAAAAUUCAGUGCAUUUUCAUGUUUUGUUUAUAAAUUUUAGUGUUUGGUUCCUGGGAAAAUUUUAGGGUGAAUAUUUUAAAUUCUCCCUCACUUCCUCUCUCUCCCCAAACCCCCAAGAGUCUACUACAAAGGAUGGUUAAGCUAAUAAAGUUUGCUAUUCUAAGUGGACCAACGAUUCCUAUUAUUGGUGAGGGUGAUGAGGAGGCAAAUGACAGGAGAACUAUGAAAAGGAAUUGAAGGAUGCAGCAGCUAGGGAACUCAUGCAAGCAGAGGAGGUGGCAAUGUUGGAUAAGGCCUUGUCACUGGGAAUUCCUUGUCUAAGUAGACCCCACGCCCUUUGAACAAUUUAGUGAGAGCUUCUUGUGAAAUUUUUCAUAUGCAGGAUAUUUCUUUCUUGUCCUAUCCGCUUCCCAUUGUAACUUCUUCAUAGCUUCAACCUCAUCCCCAAAAGAGUUAUAAAAUAUAAAUUCAGCAAGUUAAGUUUAAAUGUAAAAGGGACUGAGAUGUCUAUGACAUCCCAUAAGAAUUUUUACAAAAUUUGUCAACAUGUAAAAUCCAUAUUAUGGAUGAAUGAUUUUACUUAAUAUAAAUUAAUUAGUCAUUUCCUA